GAUGAACGCUGGCGGCGUGCUUAACACAUGCAAGUCGAACGAAGCACUUUAUCAGAUUUCUUUCGGGACUGAUUAUUUUGUGACUGAGUGGCGGACGGGUGAGUAACGCGUGGGUAACCUGCCUUGUACAGGGGGAUAACAGUUGUAAACGGCUGCGAAUCCCGCAUAAGCGCACAGCAUCGCAUGAUGCAGUGUGAAAAACUCCGGUGGUAUAAGAUGGACCCGCGUUGGAUUAGCUAGUUGGUAAGGUAACGGCCCACCAAGGCGACGAUCCAUAGCCGACCUGAGAGAGUGACCGGCCACAUUGGGACUGAGACACGGCCCAAACUACUACGGGAGGCAGCAGUGGGGAAUAUUGCACAAUGGGCGAAAGCCUGAUGCAGCGACGCCGCGUGAGCGAAGAAGUAUUUCGGUAUGUAAAGCUCUAUCAGCAGGGAAGAUAAUGACGUUACCUGACUAAGAAGCACCGGCUAAAUACGUG
rnacentral:rRNA from 1 species